rnacentral:rRNA from 1 species
GUCCUUGCCGUAAACGAUGUAUACUUGAUGUAGUUAGGCUCAACCCUGACUGUGUCGAAGCUAACGCGAUAAGUAUACCGCCUGGGGAGUACGCUCGCAAGGGUGAAACUCAAAAGAAUUGACGGGGGCCCGCACAAGCAGUGGAGCAUGUGGUUUAAUUCGAUGCAACGCGAAGAACCUUACCCAGGCUCGAAAUGUAGUGGACGGUUACAGAAAUGAAACUUCCCGCAAGGGCCGCUAUAUAGGUGCUGCAUGGCUGUCGU